CGUGAACCAGACGCUUGUUCUUGACACUAGUGGUGAUAAGCUUCCUAAUACAUUCAAUUUGGUGUGCAAGAGUGUUUUUGUGCAUGAUGUAACUGUAGGAUCAUAUAUCCUUGUUGGUGCUGAUUGUUGAUAUUGGCAAAAUUCUGCCAUUGUUCAUGGAGCUUCAAACUUUAGAUGACAGGACGUGAAGAACCAUGCUCUGUAAAGUGUCUUGUUUUCAAUGUUGCAGGUCUCAUUUAAUUUGAGUUAAACCGUUUAGUUAUGUUGGCUGUGUGAUUUUCUCACAUGUAUGUGCUAAUUGAAUAAUUUGAAACUAUAGGUACCGGAGAUAGUAAAGCUCAAAUUUUCUAGACAAUUUUUUAGAAUUGUAUUAAUUGACAUCAUAUUGUUAUUGUUGGUCGUCUUUUCAGUUAUGUGGCACUUAUUAGAAGCUUCUCUAUGAGAAAGAAGAUGUAUGAACAUGAUGGAAUUUGUAAUUUGUAGUUUAUAUUUUGGAGAUUUAUAA